rnacentral:ncRNA from 1 species
UAAAACACGAAGACAUUUUAAAGUAGAUCUCAAGAGAGCUGUCGGGUGGUGCAAGGCAGCGAUCGAAACUCCGGUGUCAUUAAAUGUGGGCGGGUAAUGCCGCACGGGUUCAUGGCCGUUAUCCAUGCAGAGCGUGACAAAUCUUUGUCGAACUUGGGUGGUACCGCGGAACCAGAGCCAUUUCGUCCCAAAA